rnacentral:rRNA from 1 species
AUUGAACGCUGGCGGCAGGCCUAACACAUGCAAGUCGAGCGGAUGAAGGGAGCUUGCUCCUGGAUUCAGCGGCGGACGGGUGAGUAAUGCCUAGGAAUCUGCCUGGUAGUGGGGGAUAACGUCCGGAAACGGGCGCUAAUACCGCUUACGUCCUGAGGGAGAAAGUGGGGGAUCUUCGGACCUCACGCUAUCAGAUGAGCCUAGGUCGGAUUAGCUAGUUGGUGGGGUAAAGGCUUACCAAGGCGACGAUCCGUAACUGGUCUGAGAGGAUGAUCAGUCACACUGGAACUGAGACACGGUCCAGACUCCUAAGGGAGGCAGCAGUGGGGAAUAUUGGACAAUGGGCGAAAGCCUGAUCCAGCCAUGCCGCGUGUGUGAAGAAGGUCUUCGGAUUGUAAAGCACUUUAAGUUGGGAGGAAGGGAAGUAAGUUAAUACCUUGCUGUUUUGACGUUACCAACAGAAUAAGCAACGGCUAACUUCGUG